UACGGGGGGGCAAGCGUUGUUCGGAAUUACUGGGCGUAAAGGGCGCGUAGGCGGCCUACUAAGUCGGACGUGAAAUCCCCGGGCUCAACCCGGGAACUGCGUCUGAUACUGGUAGGCUUGAAUCCGGGAGAGGGAUGCGGAAUUCCAGGUGUAGCGGUGAAAUGCGUAGAUAUCUGGAGGAACACCGGUGGCGAAGGCGGCAUCCUGGACCGGCAUUGACGCUGAGGCGCGAAAGCCAGGGGAGCAAACGGGG
rnacentral:rRNA from 1 species